GCCGGGUUACCCUAGCCUGGUAGGGGGCAGGCCUGCUAAGCCUGUGGCGCUUUUGCGCCGCGCGGGUUCAAAUCCCGCACCCGGCGCCA
rnacentral:tRNA from 1 species